ACUGCAGAUAGCUCAUUAUAACAGUUACAGUUUAUUUGACACUGGAAGUAAUCGCGGAUAACCGCUGGUAACUCCAGGGCUAAUACGUUUCAAGAUCUCUUGCAAAAGGGUGUAAAUAUUAGCGAAAUCAAUUAUGUUGAAAAAUAAUAUUAGUCAAAGCGAAUUUUCAUUCGAUGUGUCAUUCAAGUUUCUGCCCCAUCAGCUUCGGACGGUAUGGUAACGGCCUACCGUGGCGCUUACGGGUACGGGGAAUCACGGUUCGAUUCCGGAGAGGCAGCCUGAGAAACCGCUACCACAUCUACGGAAGGCAGCAGGCGCGCAAAUUACCCAAUUCUGACUCAGAGAGGUAGUGACAAGAAAUAACGUUGAGCAGCCAGACGGUUGCGUAUGCGGAAUGAGAACAACAUAAAAGAGUUAUCGAGUAACAAGUGGAGGGCAAGUCUGGUGCCAGCAGCCGCGGUAAUACCAGCUCCACUAGCGUAUACUAAUAUUGUUGCUGUUAAAAAGCUCGUAGUUGAACUUCUGCCUCCCGGGCGGGCCCCACUGUAGAACAGUCGUGGGCCUUGGCCUUCGGGCAUCGGGAGGCAUCAUUCAGCGCUGCGUGUCUGUCCAUUCAAUUGGCCGGGCGCGCGUCCCGCUGAUCUAUUACUUUGAGAAAAUUAGAGCGCUCAAAGCAGACUUUCGUCUGAAUGCAUUAGCAUGGAAUAAUAAAACACGACUUUGGCAAGUGGGUCAUAGACCCGCGAGUUUUAUUGGUUUUGGGCCUUAGUAAUGAUUGAUAGGAAUGACUGGGGGUGCUAGUAUCGUCGGUCUAGAGGUAAAAUUCUUUGACCCCGAUGAGACUAACUUAUGCGAAAGCAUUCACCAAGGGCUUUUCCGUUAAUCAAGAACUAAAGUUGGGGGCUCAAAGACGAUCAGAUACCGUCGUAGUCCCAACUAUAAACGAUGUCGAACUAAAUGUUGGCGGAACUUCACCAAGCCUUCGCUUUAGAGAAUCAAAGUCAAUGGACUCAGGGGGAAGUAUGCUCGCAAGAGUGAAACUUAAAGGAAUUGACGGAAAAGCACCACAAUGUGUGGAGCCUGCGGCUUAAUUUAAUUCAACACGGGAAAACUUACCAGGCCAAGACAUAGCAAGGAUUGACAGAUUGAAGUUCUUUCUUGAUUCUAUGCUUAGUGGCGCAUGGCCGUUCUUAGUUGGUGGAGUGAUUUGUCUGGUUAAUUCCGAUAACGAACGAGACCUCAGCCUCCUAUUAGUUGUUGCUAGCUCCUUGUGAUGAUAGUGUACAACUCUUAGAGGGACAAACUGCGUUCAGCAGAAGGAAGAUUGAGGCAAUAACAGGUCAGGGAUGCCCUUAGAAGGUCUGGGCGGCACGCGCGCUACAAUGAUGCACGCAACGAGUACAACCUGGCUCGAGAGAGUCGGGUAAUCAGCAAAGUGCAUCUCAGUGGGGAUAGAUGAUUGCAAUUAUUCAUCUUGAACACGGAAUACCUAGUAAACGCCAGUCAUCAACUGGCAUUGAUUACGUCCCUGCUUUUUGUACACACCGCCCGUCGCUCCUACCGACUGAAUGCUGAGGCGAAUUGAAUGGAUGGUUCUUGAGCCAGAAGUUCUGUAAACCUUAUUAUUUGGAGGAAGGAAAAGUCGUAA
rnacentral:rRNA from 1 species